UGGCCUUUCGAGUUUAGUACAAACAGAUAGUGCUAUUUCAUGUGCAGUAGUGUAUCUCUUUCAUCAUCACCAUCUUCUUCUCAGACACCAAAAGCCCUUCCUCUUCCUUCGCUUUUGCCCCACACCCACUUCGCUUUUGUCAUCUCUCUAUGUUUGCACCACACCCACUUCUGACGUUGGUUUGCAUAGACCGUCUGUUCAAAAUCAAACUCUGCGAGUUUCUAUUCAGCCCAUAAGAUUGUCAUCUUCAACGCAUCGCGCAUUGCCCGCAAGCCUUUCAGAGUCCUCCAUCAGCAACACAUAGCGCAACCCCUUCCAAUCUUUGAUCGCUGCCUCUCUAGUGAACAAGUAUGGUACUUUUAUUGAUGUCGAUUUCAAACCUUAGGCUUAGAUUUCACUUAAUUCUUAUUUUUGGGUGUGAUUUUGGGUUCUUUGUGUUUCAAUGUUCGGUGUUGCGUUGGUUUGCAAGGGUUCUUGUUGUUCAUUUUUCGGUGCAGUAGGUUGGGUUCCUGCUCUUAGUCCUCCAUUAGGAGUUUGGUUCUUGUCUUGGUUCCCUAAAAAUAUGAGAAAAUUUGUAAGUUUGAUUUUUAAUUUUGUGGGUUUGAUAAUCUGAUGAAGUGAAUCAAUCAAUUAUUAUAAGGUAAGGGAAAUAAACCAACUGUAUCUCUUAAAACCUUUUGUAUUAUCUUCUAGUACUAACAUGUAGAUGGAACAACCUUUGAAUGGAAUCAUUGUUUGUGGAUGUUCACCUUUCCUAUGUUUGUAUUCUUUAUAUUUUGUGUUAAUGAACUCACCUAAUUUUGUUUCCCAAAUUUGUGAUUUGUUUUGGAGUUUCAAUGAUUGAAACUUUACUAGUAUAAUUUAUGCUCAAACAAGUUUAGAAAAGAUUCUGGGUUGGAUUGUAAGUUGUGAUCGUGUGGUGUUUCUUAGGUUAAGUGCUUGUUGUGUUUGGGGGGGUCUUUGUUAGGGUUUUGGCCCCUUUUUAGGAUGGUUGGGUCUCUCUUGGUAGUGGUUACGUGUUUGUUAGAAGGGUCUUUGUUGGAUCUUUGGCCUCUAUCUUGGCAUACUGCGUAUUUGUUGGUUGUUUACAUCUUUCUUCUCUGUAAUAAAAUCAGUCAUUUGAUAAAAAAAAACUUUAGAAAAGAUUGUUUUCAGAUAGCUUAAGCAUGUGUUUGGACAUAUUCUAUAUUCGUGUGUGUAUGACCUUCCCUUCUAUAGUCAAUUUUGGCUAAUGUUAUGAUUUUGAUAUUGUUUGGGCUAGAAGGAGAGAUGUGGCAUUUAAGUCUUGGAAAGGAACAUGUUAACUAUUAUAAAGUUGUUUUUUUUUUACUCUGUUUGUUUGUCAAAGUUAACAAAGUUCAUAUUACUCUCAUAUGGAUGAAGUGUUUUGAUGAUAAUCACGAUAAAAUUUAAGUUGAAAACAAAAUUAUUUGGUACACAGUUCAAGGGUUUUGCAUCUUUUACAAUAGGAUAUUCUGCUAUGUUUUAGAUUUCCUCCUUUGUUUUCAGAUGUUGAGGGCACUUCAUGAGUAGACUUGUGUCGCGUCUCUAUUUUCUCAUAUUUUUUUUUUUGAACUUCUAUGUGUACCUCAUGUAUGCAAUGCUACCAACUGUGUUCUGUUUGCUGCUAGAUUUUUCCAUUAUUGUAUUUUCAUUUAAGUUUAUUUUAAUUUCUCCAAAUAUCAAUAAAAGGAGGGAAUAUUCAGAUUUUGUAAA